AAUGAACGCUGGCGGCGUGCCUAACACAUGCAAGUCGCGCGCGAAGGGGAGCAAUCCCCGGAGAGCGGCGGACGGGUGAGUAACACGUGGGUAACCUGCCUGGAAGCGGGGGAUAACCUGGGGAAACUCGGGCUAAUACCGCAUACGAUCACGGGGCUUCGGCUCUGUGCUGAAAGGUGGCCUCUUCUUGAAAGCUACUACUUCCAGAGGGACCCGCGCCUGAUUAGCUAGNGGUUAGGGUAACGGCCUACCAAGGCUACGAUCAGUAGCCGGCCUGAGAGGGUGGAUCGGCCACACUGGAACUGAGACACGGUCCAGACUCCUACGGGAGGCAGCAGUGAGGAAUCUUGCGCAAUGGGCGAAAGCCUGACGCAGCAACGCCGCGUGGAGGAUGAAGGUCUUUCGGAUCGUAAACUCCUGUCAGAUGGGACGAACGAUCACUGCCUAAUACGUGAUGAUCUUGACGGUACCAUCAGAGG
rnacentral:rRNA from 1 species